rnacentral:rRNA from 1 species
UACAGAGGUCCCGAGCGUUGUUCGGAUUCACUGGGCGUAAAGGGUGCGUAGGUGGCUUGAAAAGUUUGAUGUGAAAGCUCAGGGCUUAACCCUGAAAUGGCAUUGAAUACUGUCGGGCUGGAGGUUUGGAGGGGGGACUGGAAUUCUUGGUGUAGCAGUGAAAUGCGUAGAUAUCAAGAGGAACACCAGUGGCGAAGGCGAGUCCCUGGACAACACCUGACGCUGAGGCACGAAAGCGUGGGGAGCAAACAGG